rnacentral:rRNA from 1 species
ACGAACGCUGGCGGCGCGCCUAACACAUGCAAGUCGAACGGAGCUGAGAGAAGCUUGCUUUUCUUAGCUUAGUGGCGAACGGGUGAGUAACGCGUGAGUAACCUGCCUUGGAUUUGGUGACAACAGUUGGAAACGACUGCUAAUACCGCAUAAGCCCACGAUCCGGCAUCGGAUUGAGGGAAAAGGAUUUAUUCGCUUCAGGAUGGACUCGCGUCCAAUUAGCUAGUUGGUGAGGUAACGGCCCACCAAGGCGACGAUUGGUAGCCGGACUGAGAGGCUGAGCGGAGACAUUUGGGAUGAGACACAGAGCAGAAUACUACGGGAGGGAGGAGUGGGUGAUAAUGCAAAAUGGGGGAAGCGAAGAUGCAGCGACGCUGGGUAGAGGAAGAAGGUGGUCGGAUAGUGAACUAGGGUAGUAAGGGGCGAUAAUGACGGUACCUAACAAGAAAGCACCGGCUAACUACGUG